rnacentral:rRNA from 1 species
AUUGAACGCUGGCGGCAUGCCUAACACAUGCAAGUCGAGCGGAAGCAGGGGGCUUAGUCCUGCAUUGAGCGGCGAACGGUUGAGUAAUGCCUAGGAAUCUGCCUGGUAGUGGGGGAUAACGUCCGGAAACGGGCGAUAAUACCGCAUACGACCUGAGGGAGAAAGUGGGGGAUCUUCGGACCUCACGCUAUCAGAGGAGCCUAAGUCGUAUUAGAUAGAUGGUGGGGUAACGGCCUACCAAGGCGAUGAUGCGUAACUGGUCUGAGAGGACGAUCAGUCACACGGCAACUGAGACACGCUGCCGCCUUCUAAGGGAGGCAGCAGUCGGGAAUCUUCGAGAAGGGGCGAAAGCCUAAUUUAGCCAUGGCGCGUGUGUGAAGAAGGUCUUCGGCGUGUAAAGCACGUAAGGCUGGGAGUAAUAGAACUAAUUUAAUCGCGUGGUUUAUUGACGUUACCAAAAGAAUAAGUCCCGCCUACCCCCGUG